AGAAAGUACUUCUUUGAACUGAAUUCUCCAAAAGUUAUAUUUGUCUGUCCUAGUUCUACCCUCUGUGGUUAAACUAGCAAGCUAUAAUCAUUUUUCCAUAUGGAAGUACUUUUUCUAUUUGAAGAGUUUUCAAAUCUCUUUGGAUAAUCUUAUCCCAGAUCCUUCAACUAUUUCUCUUGAUUUUGAGAACUUCACCGUCUUGAUCACUUUCUGUGGAAAAGCUCUGCUUACUGAACAACUCUGAAUGAGGGAAACUUAAUCGCCAGCAACACUACUCUUGUACUUUGGGACUUUUAUUAGAUAAAGUAACUGUUCCUUGAACACAAGCACUGCCAUACCAGAAAGUCGAUGUGAUCGCAGAAAGGGCGGCUAAGUGACUCACAGGUGAAAAGCUGUUACAGCGUGGAUCUGCUGGACAAAGGGAAGAUUCAUGUCCUGAGAGGGACGGAACCUGACGGCCCAAGAUUUCAUCACACUACUCAGAACUGCAGUUGCUGCUGUAAAUGGAUUCCAAAACCACUUUUAAUUGACCCACCCUACAUUGCCUCAGUUCAUCUCUCAUUCUGCACCAGCUGCCUGUUGUCCCAAAGUUUCAAUGCUAAUUCCACUACAGCAUGCUCCUGGAAACUUAUGAUAAGGAAUCUGGAACCAUCUGGUUUUAGUUGACUUUUUAAAAAUACGUUUUAGUGUCACAGUUGUAUUAUUAAACAUAAUUAUGCCUGGUA
rnacentral:lncRNA from 1 species